UAACAUUUUUAUUUAUACCUUAUUAAAUCGUUGCACUACUAACUAUACAUUAUUUAGAUGUUUAUUACUCUUGGUUUUAUUAUUUAACUGCUCCCAAUUCUCACUUAAGAUUGAUUUAGCUAAACAUACACAGUGAGUAUGAAAUAUAACUUUUUUUUAAAGGGCGAAGUUGAACAAAUUGCUAUGAUGAAACCAAAAGGCCAGACUGAACACGAUGAGGGUAUGCUUGAAUAUUUAGAAGAUAUAAUUGGUUGUGGACGGCUAAAUGAACCUAUUAAAGUCUUGUGUUGGAGAGUUGAAAUAUUAAAUGAACACAGAGGAGAGAAGUUAAACAGGGUAAAGAUGGUGGAAAAGGAAAAGGAUGCCUUAGAAGGAGAGAAAAACAUAGCUAUCGAAUUUCUUACCUUGGAAAAUGAAAUAUUUAGAAAGAAGAAUCAUGUUUGUCAAUAUUAUAUUUAUGAGUUGCAGAAACGAAUUGCUGAAAUGGAAACUCAAAAGGAAAAAAUUCAUGAAGAUACCAAAGAAAUUAAUGAGAAGAGCAAUAUACUAUCAAAUGAAAUGAAAGCUAAGAAUAAAGAUGUAAAAGAUACAGAAAAGAAACUGAAUAAAAUUACAAAAUUUAUUGAGGAGAAUAAAGAAAAAUUUACACAGCUAGAUUUGGAAGAUGUUCAAGUUAGAGAAAAAUUAAAACAUGCCACGAGUAAAGCCAAAAAACUGGAAAAACAACUUCAAAAAGAUAAAGAAAAG
rnacentral:sRNA from 1 species